ACGAACGCUGGCGGCGUGCUUCACACAUGCAAGUCGAACGGAAAGGCCCUGCUUUUGUGGGGUGCUCGAGUGGCGAACGGGUGAGUAACACGUGAGUAACCUGCCCUUGACUUUGGGAUAACUUCAGGAAACUGGGGCUAAUACCGGAUAGGAGCUCCUGCUGCAUGGUGGGGGUUGGAAAGUUUCGGCGGUUGGGGAUGGACUCGCGGCUUAUCAGCUUGUUGGUGGGGUAGUGGCUUACCAAGGCUUUGACGGGUAGCCGGCCUGAGAGGGUGGCCGGCCACAUUGGGACUGAGAUACGGCCCAGACUCCUACGGGAGGCAGCAGUGGGGAAUAUUGCAUAAUGGGCGGAAGCCUGAUGCAGCAACGCCGCGUGCGGGAUGACGGCCUUCGGGUUGUAAACCGCUUUCGCCUGUGACGAAGCGUGAGUGACGGUAAUGGGUAAAGAAGCACCGGCUAACUACGUG
rnacentral:rRNA from 1 species